AAUAAAUUGGAAUAUUAAAUUCAAUUAUUUUAUUAACAAUAAAAUGCCUCUAAUUUGGCUUCAAUUUAAAAUUUAUUUUAUUUAAUAUAUAAAUUUAAAUUUAUAUAAGAAGUAAAAUUUACUUUUAAUUUCGACUUAAAGAUUGAUUUAUUUUUUAAAUCCUUAUAUAUAUAUAUAUAUAUAUAUAUAUAUUAAAAUAUUUAAUUAGAAUAAUCUAAAAUAUUCAAUUUAAAUAAUUACAUGAUCAUUCUAUUAAUAAAGAAAAAAUUAAUAUUAAAAAUAAAAAAAUUAUUAAAAUAAAUAAAUAUAAAAAAUUUAAUGUUUUGAUAUAUGAAAUUAAAGGAAUUAGUAAAAUAAUUUCUACAUCAAAAAUUAAAAAUGUUAAUGAAAUUAAAUAAAAUGGUAAUGAAAAUGGAAUAUUUAUUUUUGUAAUUGGAUUAAAUCCACAUUCAUAAGGUAAGUUUUUUUCUAUGUUAAAUUUUUUAUAUAUUGAUAAAAAUUUAUUUAAUAAAAAAGUAAUUAUUAAAAUUAUAAAAAUUAAUAAAUAAUAAAUUAUAUUAAUUAAAUAUAUUAAUUUAAUAUUAAAUUUUUUAAUUGGAAAUUAAAUGUAAUUUAAUUAUACUAUAUAUUUAAAAUUUAAUUUAAUUUAUAAUGAUAUAAUAAAAUAUGUAAAUGAAUAAUCAAAUUACAUCAACAAAAUGUCAAUAUCAAAUAGCAAAUUCAAAAUUAAUAUGAUGAAUUGUUGAAAAAUGAUUUUUUAUUAUUCGAAUUAAAGAAUAUAAUAAAAAUAAUGUUCCAAUUAAGACAUGAAUACCAUGAAAACCAGUGGAUAAAAAAAAAAAAAAAUAGAUCCAAAAAUUCUAUCAUUAAUACAGCAGAAUGAAUUAUAAUAUUCAAAAAUUUGUAUAAAAUUAAAAUAAAAUCCUAAAAAAAUUGUUGACAUUAAUAUUGAUAUUCUUGAUUUAAAUUUGUUAUUUAAUAUAUUAUAAUGUCUUAAUGUUACUGAAAAUCCUGAUAUAAUUAAAAUAAUUGAGUUUAAUAAAGGGAUUUCAAAUGGAUUAAAAAAUUUAAUUAUUUUAGGUGGUCAUAUUAAAUUAAUUUCAAUUGAAGGAGAAAUUGAAUUAUGGAAGAAUGUUCAAAAAAAUGAAAUAAAAAAAAAUAGUUCAGAAAUAAUAAAUAUAAUUAUUCUAAAUUUUAUUAUUGAUAAAAUAUAAAAAGAAUGUAUUCCUUGAAAUGUUCUUUCUCGAAUAAUAUCUCGGAAUCAUAUUAUUGUUGAUAAAAUUAAAAUUAAUAAAUUUAAGAUUAUAAUUAAUAAAUUAUUGAAAGAAAUUCAUAAAAUUGUUCUUAAUAAUAUAUGUAUAGUAUUAAAAGAGACAAUAAUUGGUCAUGGUCUAAUAGUAACAAUAUGAAAAGGAAAGUUUUUUUUCAUUAAUUUGAUUCAGAAAAAUAUAAUGUUAAUAAAAUUGAGAAUACAUAAGCUUGAAUUAAAGCUAUUGAAAUUUCUAGAAUUAAUAAUAUAUUUUGAAUUAUUAAAGUUAAUGGUGAUAAAAUAAUGAAGUUUAUUAUAAAAUUUCUUAGUAAAAUAAGAAUAAGAUGUCCUGAAAUUAAAUUUGCUGAAAGACGAAUUGAUAAUGUUCAAGGGCGAAUAAAAAGUCUAAUAAGUUCAAUAAUUACUAUAAAAUUUAUUAAAAAUUUUGGAGAAUUUAAUGGUACUAAAUGUCUUAAAGUUUUUAUAGGAAAAUUAAUAAUUGAGUAAAUUAAAAAUCUUAAUCAUAAAGAUAAUGCUAUUGAUAGAUUAAA